rnacentral:rRNA from 1 species
CCGACGGUGAGGGGUGAAAGCUGGGGGAGCAAACCGGAUUAGAUACCCGGGUAGUCCCAGCUGUAAACGAUGCGCGUUAGGUGUGUCAGUGACCACGUGUCACUGAUGUGCCGAAGGGGAACCGUGAAACGCGCCGCCUGGGGAGUACGGUCGCAAGGCUGAAACUUAAAAGAAUUGGCGGGGGAGCACCACAACGGGUGGAGCCUGCGGUUUAAUCGGACUCAACGCCGGAAAUCUCGCCGGAUAA